CAAGGACGAGCUCUGUCUCCACUUCUGCAAAUAGCGACAAGUCUGAAAGUAUACCUUCUGUGAGAAGGAGACUAGUGUGGGGGAUUAGACAGCAUCAGAACUUUCCGGAACGAUAUCUAAAAUUUGGAGUUUUGAGCUCAGACUUUGAGGGAAGCACAAAUCCACGGCUGCUCGCUAGAGGAUAAGCCCCCCUGCGCUCAAACUUAAUGAGCACGAGUAAGCCCAUUCCUGCAGCUCCACGCAAGAGAAACGAUCAUGAAGUGUGCUGAAGAAUGACAGAGACAAAGCGAGAGAGACUGGAAGAAAGGACAAGCCAGAGAGUGCAAAAGCGAGAGAGGUUGUCUGCCAAAGGGAGACUCUUUAAUUCGGUCUCUGUUGAGGAGUGGGUCGAGUGGAACGCUGGCCUGUCUGUCACUGCGAGGCUCCAGUGACCGUCUGACAGAUCACAGCACAGCGCCGCAUCAGGGGGGCCAGUAAAUUGGCCCGGGGGGCCUCCCUAGUCUCCUUUCUCCAGCUGAAUCUGCAGAGGCGAGGCUGAUGGGUAGUGUGGUACACAGGAGGCUAUUUAUGAGACAUAUUUGUCCAUGGCAGCAUUUUCAGCAAAAGCGGUUUACAUGUGUUCGGGGUUGUCGGGGGGAGCGAGGCACCCUGGAAGGAAUACAGAGUCAGCAGGGGUAGCACCUUUGUGAAGGAGAGGAGUGUCAGAGGGAUUGGCCGAUGCCGGUGAAGGGAACGGGUGCCGGGGUGACAAGCUGUCAGUGUGUCUCACAGUGAGGAGGACUUUGUUCAUCCCCUGGAGCCAUGUGACUUCUUUUGGACUGAUGCACUGCAACACGCGCUGAGUGGCAUUAAACAAAGAUCAAAGACAAUUUUUAAUAUAACUCCUAACUGGAUUUGUCUGAAAGAAGAAAGUCAUAUACACCUAGGAUGACUUGAGGCAAACUGCCCAGGAACUACAGAUAAAAACGUCUCUAGGUUACGUAUGUAACCCUAGUUCCUCGAGGGAACGAGAUGCU
ensembl:lncRNA